CCUACGGGAGGCUGCAGUGGGGAAUAUUGGACAAUGGGCGCAAGCCUGAUGCAGCAACGCCGCGUGAAGGAAGAAGGCUUUCGGCUUGUAAACUUCUUUUAAUAAGGACGAAAGAAAUGACGGUACUUGAUUAAGAAGCCACGGCUAACUACGUGCCAGCAGCCGCGGUAAUACGUAGGGGGCAAGCGUUAUCCGGAUUUACUGGGUGUAAAGGGUGAGUAGGCGGCAUGGUAAGCCAGAUGUGAAAGCCUUGGGCUUAACCCAAGGAUUGCAUUUGGAACUAUCAAGCUAGAGUACAGGAGAGGAAGGCGGAAUUCCUAGUGUAGCGGUGAAAUGCGUAGAUAUUAGGAAGAACACCAGUGGCGAAGGCGGCUUUCUGGACUGAAACUGACGCUGAGGCACGAAAGCGUGGGGAGCGAACAGGAUUAGAUACCCUUGUAGUC
rnacentral:rRNA from 1 species